rnacentral:tRNA from 1 species
AUUUAUAUAGUUUAAAAAAACAUUACAUUUUCAUUGUAAAAUUAGAAACUUUCUUAUAAAUA